ACGUUAGCGGCGGACGGGUGAGUAACACGUGGAUAACCUACCUAUAAGACUGGGAUAACUUCGGGAAACCGGAGCUAAUACCGGAUAAUAUUUCGAACCGCAUGGUUCGAUAGUGAAAGAUGGUUUUGCUAUCACUUAUAGAUGGACCCGCGCCGUAUUAGCUAGUUGGUAAGGUAACGGCUUACCAAGGCGACGAUACGUAGCCGACCUGAGAGGGUGAUCGGCCACACUGGAACUGAGACACGGUCCAGACUCCUACGGGAGGCAGCAGAC
rnacentral:rRNA from 1 species